GCAGUCGCCACGGUAAAACGGAGGGUGCAAGCGUUAUCCGGAUUUAUUGGGUUUAAAGGGUCCGUAGGCGGAUCUGUAAGUCAGUGGUGAAAUCUCACAGCUUAACUGUGAAACUGCCAUUGAUACUGCAGGUCUUGAGUAAAUUUGAAGUGGCUGGAAUAAGUAGUGUAGCGGUGAAAUGCAUAGAUAUUACUUAGAACACCAAUUGCGAAGGCAGGUCACUAAGAUUUAACUGACGCUGAUGGACGAAAGCGUGGGGAGCGAACAGGAUUAGAUACCCGCGUAGUCCCUGUCUCUUAUAC
rnacentral:rRNA from 1 species